CCGCCGAAAGAUCGAGACCCGUCUCGGUC
rnacentral:sRNA from 1 species